CUUGUAUGACUGCAAAGAAGAUAUGGGUGAAUUGGAGGUGCCAAGUUCAUCAUCAACGCAGAUAAUUGAUGGUGAUGAUGUGCGUGCACUACAAACCUUCAAAUCGGCUCUCAGGGACCUAAAUCAGGUCA